rnacentral:rRNA from 1 species
UUUUCAAGGUUGACCUCGGAUCAGGUAGGAAUACCCGCUGAACUUAAGCAUAUCAAUAAG